UUACCUGUUAGAUUGAAACAUGAAACAUGGUGGACAAUGUACUGGUUUAACUUGUUAAAAUAAAGUUAAAGACAUUUAACAAACAGAAGAGUUCAUUAGUUUUUCCAUUAAAAACACUUUCUUAAAAUACUUAUGUAUUUAUAUCAUUUGGAAAGUGACAUGAAAUAUUGCUAAAGAGUGAUGCAUACAGUGUUUGAGCAGUCUGUCUAGGAAUAGAACAACAACUGAAGUUGAUGGAAGAUACUGCAGAGUUUGGCAGGGAAAUAAUCCAACAGCAAAGCGGCUCUUUAAGCGCAUUUACCUAGAGGACUUACAGGGCUACAAAUUCAUGAGCACAUGUGAGCAGUAUACAAUGUACCUCAUACCAAAAAGGACCCGGAGGCAGUGACUGGUGUUCAAUAUUCUCAGAAGAAAAGGAAAAUGGCAGUGGAAGACUUGGACAAACAUUUUUAGCCUCUGUGUUAAGCCUGGCAGUCUGUGGCUGGUGACAUGUUUUAUUUUGGUUACUUCUUGUAAAAAAAAGACCAGUUAUUUAUUUUGUGAAUUGUAUUUUGUGUUUGUUUUUUGUCUUAAUUUAUUUGUUGUUUUUUUUAAUUUAGGAAUUUGAAACUUGGAUAAUUGAAUUAAGUCCGUGUUCAACAGUACUGAGCAUAGUAUAAUAAAUAACAAAUUUACAACAGUUGUUAAUUUGUUAUGUAUUAUUAUUAACUAUGCUCAGUACUUGAAUACUGGCUGUCUGCAUGGGAAUUUGUUUUCUAGAAAGUUGGUUUCAGACUUAAAUAUUUGAAGUUAACCUUCGGAACUUUUCUAGAAUUGUACUGGAACACAUCAACUAGAACUGAACUUCUGUUAUCUUACUGAAAGUGUUCUAGAAUUAUUAAGGAACAGUUGUUGAACGUUAAAAUUUAUGAGAAAAAACUCUAGAACAAUUGUGUGUGAUGUGUGUGUGCAUGUAAUUGUGUGUGUUUAUGAACAUAUGUGAGAAAGGAAGUAUACUUGUCAUAAGAGAAAUGUAAAAUUCUACUUCUAUGUUUUAUAUUGUGCCUUUUAUAAGUUUUUCUGUUCUCACCUGUAUAUGCGUGCAUGUUUAUGGAUGUGUUUUUGAAUGUGUGCAUGCAUGCCUGUGGUUAAGAGAGUUGGUACUUUAUGAAAAUGUAAAACCACUCAUUUUUGAAUAUGUACUGUGACUGCAUGUGUGUGGUAAAUGAUUGAUGCCAGAUCUUGUUCUUGCUUAACUUCUAUGAUGAAACCUUUAGUUACAUUCACAUUUGUUUUUCAAAAUCAAUAAAAUGCCUUUGAUCUAUAAUCUGUUUUUAUUUCUAUUUUA